UGGCCUCUGAUUUGCAGGUGUGAGAAGGCACAGCCAGCAGCUGUGCUUGGAGCUGUGCUUGCAGGCUCGCUGGAGAGCAGGACAGCUGAGUGCAGCUGGGAAGCAGCCUGGGAAAUGAAAUGCAGACAUCUCUUGCAGGCACCCAAGCUGCAAAACAAAACAAGCUUCAUGUUCAGUAACCCCAUGCACCAACAAGGAUUCUCUAUGGAUUCACCAAAUAAUGGCCAUUUUGAAAAUACGGGCAUCUCGCCUAUUCUCUCUCUAUUGCAGCAGCAUUGGAAAAUCCAGGAGGUGGGAUGCUCAAACAACAGAUGUGCAGACCAAAAGCAGUGAAAUUUACGGCUCUGAUUCUGAUGGCUGAAAGAAAACCAACACUGACCCUCAAGAGUUUAGGGUAUAAAUAAAGAGUUUUAGAAUUAUGCA
rnacentral:lncRNA from 1 species